rnacentral:rRNA from 1 species
UACGUAGGGGGCGAGCGUUGUCCGGAGUUACUGGGCGUAAAGCGCUUGUAGGCGGUCCACCAAGUUUGGGGUGACAGUUGCCGACUUAAUCGGCAAAGUGCCUCAAAGACUGGCGGACUUGAGGGCCACAGAGGGACAUGGAACUCCAGGUGUAGUGGUGAAAUGCGUAGAUAUCUGGAAGAACACCAAAGGUGAAGGCAGUGUCCUGGGUGGUCGCUGACGCUGAGAGGCGAAAGCCAGGGGAGCGAACGGG